CCUCCCCUGGCGCUGAGGCUGAGUGAGACGACACACCUGCUCCACAUCUCCAAUCAAGACACUUUAAGAAGCCUGCAGCCCUCAGUCUCAGCGUCUGAGUAUUGUCUACCCUUCCUAGCGGUACAGACGCGUCUCCUGGCCUUCCUCUUUGUAAGAGUAUCUGUAACUUUGAAAAAAAGCACAUUUUCACAGUAACUGAAGGGCUGUAAUUCAUGUUUGUUUUCAGGUAACUCCAAAGAGUCAGACACCCAAAAUGACUUGAGAGGAGCCCAAAGAUGACGACCAACCCCAUGAUGCAGAAGAAGAUUGGAUGAACGAGACGACAUGGAGAAGUAAAGUAAGUAAAGUUUGAUGAAUGUGUCAGGUAUCAUUAAAUUGUUGUCUUGGUGUGCUGCUCUAUUGACCUACUUAUGAUGAAUAUUUAGUUGGUAGGUUAUUGUGUAGGUUUACAUUAGGCUACAUAAUUAACACUUGCAGUAAUUUAUUUGCUAAAUGACAAACAGGCAAAAGUAGCCCUGUGCCUUGUUAAAAUAUAACCAAACAGUCUUAUUCAUAUUGUUGGUCUCUUUUUAUCUACCAAUUGCAGCAUAAUGCCGAGAAAGGAGAGGAGAAGAAGGAAAAAGAAAGGGAGCUACAGCAGGCAGCCCAGGGGAGCAGCUCUCUACUGUCCUGGAUAAAAACAUCCACCAGCAUCAAGGAGGAAGAGGAAUAUGAAGAUAAAAGGUCAGAGUCAAGAGUCAUGUUCACCGUUUCGGGCAUUUUAAAGCUCAGAUUUUGAAGUUGAACUGUUCCUCUAAUUUUACUGAAUUAUCUUAAAAGUUGUCCACAUUUUAUUUGAACUACACAAAGUGGUUUGGCUGGACUAAAUUAGGCAUUAAGCUAUUUAAGCUCAUUAUAUUAUUUUGUACCAACAAGUUAUUUCUAUGUUAAAAGACUUGCAGUUAUCUUGUAUUUACCUUAAUAGGCUAUAUUCAACCUUAAAAAAUAGACUAUUACUGAAACUGUCAUUAUUCUAUUCUAGGCAGCUACAGCAGGGAAGCAGUAGAGCAACGAUGAGUCCAUAGCAGCACCAAGUCCAUGCACAGCUACAGAAUCAGAAGUGCUGUCUGAUGACAAAAAGGCAUGAUGUAGCAGCUAUAUGUGA